rnacentral:piRNA from 1 species
UGACACUCUGUUCUGGUUGUGCUCA